UUAAAGUAGGUACGCCGAUAUCCGCGUUUUACGGAACCGAUAAAUGUGCUAAAAUUCUGUGCCACGUUUUUUGAACUUCGCAUUUAGAGAGAUAAAAUGAGUGAAGAGAUAAAUUAUGCACAAGCUAUUGAAAGCUUAUAUGAAAAAUUAAGUUAGUAAUUCUAUUUUGUUAUUUAGUUAUUAUUUAUUUAAUUAUUUAGUUAGUAAUUCUCAUUUAUUGAAUCUAUUUUAUUCUUAAUUCUAUUUAUAUUAAA